GUCUUGACAUCCACGGAAGUUUUCAGAGAUGAGAAUGUGCCUUCGGGAACCGUGAGACAGGUGCUGCAUGGCUGUCGUCAGCUCGUGUUGUGAAAUGUUGGGUUAAGUCCCGCAACGAGCGCAACCCUUAUCCUUUGUUGCCAGCGGUCCGGCCGGGAACUCAAAGGAGACUGCCAGUGAUAAACUGGAGGAAGGUGGGGAUGACGUCAAGUCAUCAUGGCCCUUACGACCAGGGCUACACACGUGCUACAAUGGCGCAUACAAAGAGAAGCGACCUCGCGAGAGCAAGCGAACCUCAUAAAGUGCGUCGUAGUCCGGAUUGGAGUCUGCAACUCGACUCCAUGAAGUCGGAAUCGCUAGUAAUCGUGGAUCAGAAUGCCACGGUGAAUACGUUCCCGGGCCUUGUACACACCGCCCGUCACACCAUGGGAGUGGGUUGCAAAAGAAGUAGGUAGCUUAACCUUCGGGAGGGCGCUUACCACUUUGUGAUUCAUGACUGGGGUGAAGUCGUAACAAGGUAACCGUAGGGGAACCUGCGGUUGGAUCACCUCCUUACCUUAAAGAA
rnacentral:rRNA from 1 species